GAAAAUAUGGAACCCUCUGCUCCUGGCAAUUGAAUAACCGAGUUGGAUUACUUUUCAUUCUUAUCUUUAUUUUUCCAUAUUUUGUCCUGUGUUUCUUGCUCUGUAUAAUAUUACUCUUAGUCAUGUUGAACAAAUGCUGGAAUGCUGCCUGGUUUUCUAGAUUUCCAUUAACACUGGAUGCAAUCCAGAUACAAAGUUGAGGAGUGAUUUAUAUGUGUCCCACUUUCC